rnacentral:lncRNA from 10 species
GACAGGGGGCCGUCCUGGGAAAGCGCCCACGUGGCGCAGAAUUAGAGGCGGAGCCUACACGACCCUGUACCUUUGCUCCUAAGCAUGAAGAUGGGCUUCUGACCAAGUCCUGCUAGAGGACACUGAAAGGGCAAGCCUUGGGCUUUAACCAGGCAAUGGAAAAUUUAAAUUGGGCUCCAGAGAAGAGACAUUGAGACUGAUACUUCCAGCACUGAGGAUCUACCUCUAGAAGUCUAGCUCAGAACUUGGCCUCCGGCCUGGGCACUGCCUCAUACCUGCCAGAAUUGAUCUCAAUGGAGCUGCACAAUGAGAGGUUUUGCAUGUUGUCUAGAGGACUUUGGUUGAGUUCAGAGCUGAGCACACUUGCCUUCAGACUCUCCUGGGACUCCCAGUUCUCAUCCAUAUGAGCAAGGGCUUCAUGUUACUGGCCGUGGCCCUGUGCUGAGUCCUCCUCCCGCCCAUGGCCCUCUCCUCCUGGCCAGUGGUCCUCCGCCUGAACAUGGCCGACUUUGUCUUCAGUUUCCUCUGCCUCGGCAUUGGGCUCCUGAUUUCUCUUCAGCCUGACGCUCUUUUCAGUUAACGGCAAGGCGGUGCACCCAAGUCCGGUGGUGUCCUACCUGGUGACCUCCUACCUGUGCUGGGACGCCAGCGACUUGAUGCUGCACUCCGCAGGGCGCAGCGAGGCGGACAUCCAAACAGCGGAACUCAGACGCUGACUCCGAGCGCACCCCGGGCCUUCCCAUUUCAUACACCCUCGAGGAUGAGACCCAAGCACCUCCAAGGAAUAGCACCCGAGGUCUUCAGGACACCGACCGGUAGCCAUGGCCAGAUGCCCGGCCAACCCCUUCAGCGUGGCCACGCCCUGGAUAUUCGACCUCCCCUGAGGCCCCACCCCCUGAUAUCAGGCCACGCCCUCCGAGGGGACCGGUGGCAAACUCCAGCCCUCGCUCUAGGGCCCGCCCUUUGCGGCUUUGUCCCUGCCCACUGGGUCCUCACAGUACCUCCACCCCAGAGGCCCAGCAUCCCCUCCCGUUCUGCAGACACUUGUCCAGCGUCCCGCUGAGCUCGGCAGUGUGGCUAGUUUGUGUGGCCCUGCCCCUGGUGCCCAGCCAGGGUGGUCUGCAUGGAACUUCUUUCCCGGAGUUCCGGCCUCAGCUCCGAUGUCCACCCUUGUCCCCAGGUGGACACAGCACCGCCCAGCAUUUGGUGCAACUCCACCCUUCUGCAGAACGGGCCCCUCCCUGGGAAGGCAUGGCUUGCAAUAACAUCCCUCUGUACCUUUUCUGGCUUCCCCGCCACAAUAAAACCUCUCAGCCUCAGACCUUCCAUUGCCCCCCACCUCCCCACCAGGGCAGGGUCCAUCCUAGUGUGAGUGAACUGUUCUGGCGUCCCUGACUUGCCCUUUGGGA